rnacentral:rRNA from 1 species
GAUAGCGCGGUGGUCCCACCUGACCCCAUGCCGAACUCAGAAGUGAAACGCCGUAGCGCCGAUGGUAGUGUGGGGUCUCCCCAUGUGAGAGUAGGGAACUGCCAGGC